rnacentral:rRNA from 1 species
UCGAAACCUGCCCAGCAGAACRACCCGUGAACACGUUCAACCUCGUGGGUGUUGGGGCGUUGCCCGGUGCCUCGUGUGCCGGCUCGUCCCUCUCCCAAGCCGGGGGAGCUCUCACUUGUGGGCUGCUUCCCCUGCUAAUCAACGAACCCCGGCGCGUAAUGCGUCAAGGAAUACAAACUUUAUGUGUGUGCUCUCCCAUUGACCGGUUAGCCGGGCGUGGGAGCGGUGCCAUGUCUUAACAAUA